GACGAACGCUGGCGGCGUGCUUAACACAUGCAAGUCGAACGGAAAGGCCCUGCUUUUGUGGUGUGCUCGAGUGGCGAACGGGUGAGUAACACGUGAGUAACCUGCCCUUGACUUUGGGAUAACUUCAGGAAACUGGGGCUAAUACCGGAUAGGAGCUCCUGCUGCAUGGUGGGGGUUGGAAAGUUUCGGCGGUUGGGGAUGGACUCGCGGCUUAUCAGCUUGUUGGUGGGGUAGUGGCUUACCAAGGCUUUGACGGGUAGCCGGCCUGAGAGGGUGACCGGCCACAUUGAGACUGAGAUACGGCCCAGACUCCUACGGGAGGCAGCAGUGGGGAAUAUUGCACAAUGGGCGGAAGCCUGAUGCAGCAACGCCGCGUGCGGGAUGACGGCCUUCGGGUUGUAAACCGCUUUCGCCUGUGACGAAGCGUGAGUGACGGUAAUGGGUAAAGAAGCACCGGCUAACUACGUG
rnacentral:rRNA from 1 species